rnacentral:lncRNA from 1 species
GGACCCAAGCCUCAUCUUGUCUUGUUCUUGGGCCGCUCAGCUGCAUGACGCACGCAAUCGACGACGUUCCCCCAGUUCAUUUUAUCCAUUGAGUUCCGGUGGCCCAUCAGUAAUCUACUGAAUUUCUUACUCUGCCGUUUCCUUGAGGAUAUCCCCUAUUAUUUCUUUCAUUUUUUUAUUUUUUUAGGCGCAGCAACACCUGCCGGCGCGCAUGGUUUGACAC